rnacentral:rRNA from 1 species
AUUGAACGCUGGCGGCAUGCCUUACACAUGCAAGUCGAACGGCAGCACGGGUGCUUGCACCUGGUGGCGAGUGGCGAACGGGUGAGUAAUACAUCGGAACGUACCUUAUCGUGGGGGAUAACGCAGCGAAAGCUGUGGUAAUACCGCAUACGCCCUGAGGGGGAAAGCGGGGGAUCGAAAGACCUCGCGCGAUUAGAGCGGCCGAUGCCUGAUUAGCUUGUUGGUGGGGUAAAAGCCCACCAAGGCGACGAUCAGUAGCUGGUCUGAGAGGACGAUCAGCCACACUGGGACUGAGACACGGCCCAGACUCCGACGGGGGGCAGCAGUGGGGAAUUUUGGACAAUGGGGGCAACCCUGAUCCAGCAAUGCCGCGUGAGUGAAGAAGGCCUUCGGGUUGUAAAGCUCUUUUGUCAGGGAAGAAACACCGGCUCUAACACAGUCCGGGAAUGACGGUACCUGAAGAAUAAGCACCGGCUAACUACGUGCCAGCCGCCGCGGUAA